UACGAAGGGGGCUAGCGUUGUUCGGAUUUACUGGGCGUAAAGCGCACGUAGGCGGUUUGUUAUGUGAGAGGUGAAAUCCCAGAGCUCAACUCUGGAACUGCCUUUCAUACUGGCAAGCUAGAGUCCGGAAGAGGUAAGUGGAACUCCUAGUGUAGAGGUGGAAUUCGUAGAUAUUAGGAAGAACACCAGUGGCGAAGGCGGCUUACUGGUCCGGAACUGACGCUGAGGUGCGAAAGCGUGGGGAGCAAACAGG
rnacentral:rRNA from 1 species